GGGGAAUUUUGGACAAUGGACGAAAGUCUGAUCCAGCAAUGCCGCGUGCAGGACGAAGGCCUUCGGGUUGUAAACUGCUUUUGUACAGAACGAAAAAGUCUUUAAUAACACUAGAGGCUCAUGACGGUACUGUAAGAAUAAGCACCGGCUAACUACGUGCCAGCAGCCGCGGUAAUACGUAGGGUGCAAGCGUUAAUCGGAAUUACUGGGCGUAAAGCGUGCGCAGGCGGUUAUAUAAGACAGAUGUGAAAUCCCCGGGCUCAACCUGGGACCUGCAUUUGUGACUGUAUAGCUAGAGUACGGUAGAGGGGGAUGGAAUUCCGCGUGUAGCAGUGAAAUGCGUAGAUAUGCGGAGGAACACCGAUGGCGAAGGCAAUCCCCUGGACCUGUACUGACGCUCAUGCACGAAAGCGUGGGGAGCAAAC
rnacentral:rRNA from 1 species